rnacentral:tRNA from 1 species
UCCCUGGUGGCUCAGACAGUAAAGCAUCUGCCUACAAUGCAGGAGACCCGGGUUCAAUCCCUGGGUAGGGAA